rfam:Aedes aegypti strain Liverpool supercont1.220 genomic scaffold, whole genome shotgun sequence.
UGUCCAGCAACUCCUAUCCCUACCUCCUCGCGCUACUGGUCGGGGUACGAGUAACCUUGGGGAAGAUCGUGUAACCAACCCCCGGUGGGAACUUUGGUCGUAUGCUGACAGGGAAGG